CCGGCCGCGCCGCUGCGGCUUCCGCUAGGCGGUGGAGUAGGGUAAAGUAGGGGAAUACAGCAGCCGCUAGGCCUGUGAGGAGCUCCUGAAGCCCGGGGGGUGUGCGACUGAUAGAUCAGUGGGUUGGCGCCCCGAAGCUCCUGCAAGCCUUGAUAGAGGCCAGCUCAGUGUAGCUCAGGCAGGUGGGAACGCGGUGUCUGUGCUCUGCAAUCAUGUAUCCCCAUCAACUGCAUGGGCCCUCCCCCUGCACGGAGCUCGGGGCAACCCAGCUCCAGACUCGAGGAGCUUGCGAGGUUUGAAUUGGCUUGCUGGAUCCAGAAGAGUUUAUGGAGAAGACUUCACUCAACUCUAGCUAGAUCAAGUAAUAAAAUAUUUAGAGAUGUG